UACGAAGGGGGCUAGCGUUGCUCGGAAUCACUGGGCGUAAAGCGCACGUAGGCGGCUUUUUAAGUCAGGGGUGAAAUCCUGGAGCUCAACUCCAGAACUGCCUUUGAUACUGAGGAGCUUGAGUCCGGGAGAGGUGAGUGGAACUGCGAGUGUAGAGGUGAAAUCCGUAGAUAUUCGCAAGAACACCAGUGGCGAAGGCGGCUCACUGGCCCGGUACUGACGCUGAGGUGCGAAAGCGUGGGGAGCAAACAGG
rnacentral:rRNA from 1 species